CAAGUGGCGAACGGGUGAGUAACGCGUAGACAACCUGCCUUCUAGAUGGGGACAACACCGCGAAAGUGGUGCUAAUACCGAAUGUGGUCUAAAGAGCGCAUGCUUAAUAGACGAAAGGUGGCCUCUUAACAAUGCUACCGCUAGAAGAUGGGUCUGCGUCUGAUUAGCUAGUUGGUGAGGUAACGGCUCACCAAGGCGACGAUCAGUAGCCGGUCUGAGAGGAUGAACGGCCACACUGGGACUGAGACACGGCCCAGACUCCUACGGGAGGCAGCAGUGGGGAAUCUUCCGCAAUGGACGAAAGUCUGACGGAGCAACGCCGCGUGAGUGAAGAAGGUCUUCGGAUCGUAAAGCUCUGUCUUUUAGGGCGAACGAGCUAUAGGUGAAAAAUCUAUAGCAAUGACGGUACUAAAGGAGGAAGCCACGGCUAACUACGUGCCAGCAGCCGCGGUAAUACGUAGGUGGCAAGCGUUGUCCGGAAUUAUUGGGCGUAAAGAGCGCGUAGGCGGGAUAACAAGUCUAUCUUAAAAGUGCGGGGCUCAACCCCGUGAGGGGAUAGAAACUGUUAUUCUUGAGUGCAGGAGAGGGAAGUGGAAUUCCCAGUGUAGCGGUGAAAUGCGUAGAUAUUGGGAGGAACACCAGUGGCGAAGGCG
rnacentral:rRNA from 1 species